rnacentral:rRNA from 1 species
UACGGAGGGUGCAAGCGUUAUCCGGAUUCACUGGGUUUAAAGGGUGCGUAGGUGGGUUCGUAAGUCAGUGGUGAAAUCUCCGAGCUUAACUUGGAAACUGCCAUUGAUACUAUGAGUCUUGAAUAUGGUGGAGGUAAGCGGAAUAUGUCAUGUAGCGGUGAAAUGCUUAGAUAUGACAUAGAACACCUAUUGCGAAGGCAGCUUACUACGCCUAUAUUGACGCUGAGGCACGAAAGCGUGGGGAUCAAACAGG